rnacentral:lncRNA from 1 species
UUGCUCCAAGAGAUACGCACGAAGCACAGGUCCAGUUUGCGCUGGAACGUGGAGUUCCAGCAAUGAUUGGAAUUAUGGGGUCACAGAGGCUUCCAUACCCCGCUAGGGCUUUUGACUUGGCUCAUUGUUCUCGCUGCUUGAUCCCUUGGCAAAAAUAUGGUAAGGCAUCUGCAUGUCUUUUUUAAAAAAUGAGAUUAACUCUGUUAGGAAGGUGCAAUGACCGUUUUACUACCCUCUAUCUCUUUGCUCUAUAGGUUGAAAAGUUGUGUAUAAGCUAAUGGUUUUAUUUAAUCGGUAUAGAUGGUUUGUACCUCGCUGAAGUGGACCGGAUUCUACGGCCUGGUGGUUAUUGGGUUCUUUCCGGUCCCCCUAUUCACUGGAAGAAGUUCUGGAGAGGCUGGGAAAGGACACGGGAGGACUUAAAACAAGAGCAAGAUGCUAUUGAAGAUGUUGCCAAAAGCCUAUGCUGGAAGAAAGUGAUUGAAAAGAAUGAUCUAUCGGUUUGGCAAAAACCCAUUAACCACGUUGAGUGCUUCAGAAGUAAGAAGGUCUUGAAAGCACCGCACAUGUGCGAGUCAGAUGAUCCAGACACAGCUUGGUACUCUCAUUGGUGUCCUUCAUGUUCUUGUUUCCUCCUUGAUACAUACUCUGAUAUUCAUAUUGUCCACUGUGGUCUCAUUUUCCUUUUGUCAUUUGUGCUAAAAAGGUACCGGAAUUUGGAAGCUUGUGUAACUCCACUUCCUGAAGUAAGCAGCUCAGAUGAUGUUGCUGGUGGGGCAAUAGAAAAAUGGCCAGAGCGAGCAUACGCUGUUCCUCCUAGAAUUAGGAGUGGCUCAACACCAGGCAUCACAGCUGAGAGAUUCGUAGAGGAUAAUAAACUUUGGAAGGAAAGAGUAGCACAUUACAAACGAAUCAUUAGUCCACUUCCCACUGGACGAUAUCGGAAUAUUAUGGACAUGAAUGCUUACCUUGGGGGAUUUGCAGCAGCUAUGUUAAAUUAUCCAGUUUGGGUCAUGAAUGUGGUUCCUAUAAAUUCAAAUCAUGACACUUUGGGAGUUAUUUAUGAAC